AACGAACGCUGGCGGCAUGCCUAACACAUGCAAGUCGAACGAGACCUUCGGGUCUAGUGGCGCACGGGUGCGUAACGCGUGGGAACCUGCCCUUAGGUUCGGAAUAACUCCCCGAAAGGGGUGCUAAUACCGGAUAAUGUCUUCGGACCAAAGAUUUAUCGCCUUUGGAUGGGCCCGCGUUGGAUUAGCUAGUUGGUAGGGUAAAAGCCUACCAAGGCGACGAUCCAUAGCUGGUCUGAGAGGAUGAUCAGCCACACUGGGACUGAGACACGGCCCAGACUCCUACGGGAGGCAGCAGUGGGGAAUAUUGGGCAAUGGGCGAAAGCCUGAUACAGCAAUGCCGCGUGAGUGAUGAAGGCCUUAGGGUUGUAAAGCUCUUUUACCCGGGAUGAUAAUGACAGUACCGGGAGAAUAAGCUCCGGCUAACUCCGUG
rnacentral:rRNA from 1 species